rnacentral:misc_RNA from 1 species
UAUUUUGUUGUUGCUAGGUAA